ACAUUUGAAAGUACACUUGACAUAUGUAGCAAAUUGACAACUUUACGUGGCUGACGGGAACUGGUGACUGUACUGCUGUACCUAUUGAAUUUAAGUUUUGUUGAUAGAUGAUUCUGUUACAAUUUUGUGCUUACUAUUUAAAUAAUUUCGUUUUAAAGUAAAUGCCGGAUACCAAAAAAUAAAACCAAAAUGGGCUUGUGUAAGUGUCCCAAGAGACGAGUGACAAAUCAAUUUUGUUUCGAACAUCGAGUGAAUGUUUGCGAAAAUUGUAUGGUUACAAAUCAUCCAAAGUGUAUAAUUCAGUCAUAUCUUCAAUGGCUGCAAGACAGUGACUACAAUCCCAUAUGUGAGAUUUGUACAAAACCAUUAAAUGAAGGAGAAUGCAUACGACUUACUUGUUACCAUGUUUUUCAUUGGUCCUGCGCAGAGUCUAAAUACCGAGCAUUACCGAGGACCACAGCACCAGCUGGCUAUCAGUGUCCAUCAUGUGCAACAUUAGUAUUCCCUCCUCCUAACUUAGUAUCACCUGUAGCAGAUGUACUGAAGGAAAAGCUGGCUGGAGUCAAUUGGGCUAGAGCAGGCUUGGGCUUACCAUUGCUAUCAGAGGAUCAAGAUCUAAAGGGUGCAGCAAGCCGGCGCAGUCAGUCUCCAUUAGAUACCGCUUAUUAUGGCCUGGAUCAUCGUGGUACACCAGUUGGAGCAAGUGAUGAUGAAUCAAAUAGCAGGUCCGCUACUGCCACACCACAUUCCAUAGUACAAAUGCCUGACGAACCUGCCAAUAUGUACGAAAAUACUUCAAUAAAAAGGACUGACGGAUUACAAGGUAGUCAAGCUCCAAGGAAAAGUUUCAAAGCAGUCGAGAUUUCGAAACAGACGCCGAACUACGACCAUGACGAAAAUAAAUAUAAACAAAAAUCAACGUUCGCAUGGAUUAGCAGAUGGUGGAUGUACGUCAUUCUCAAAAUUAUUACAAAAUCAUUUUAUUUUAUUUCAUCUUUUCCGUCAUACACAUACAUUACAAGACUACUAUUGGUUAUUUUGUGUACUUUUCAUGUAGUUCACAAUUGAGAUUCAAUGUUUAUACACAAACUUUAAGCAGUACUUUUUAGUGAUUAAAUACGUGAUUCAUCAAUGAAUCCACAAUACAAGUACCCUUAAAUUAAGAAACAAUUGAGCCCCGUCGCCUACCUAAUAAGAUCACAAGUCUCUCUUGCCUUAGAAUAGAGGUUAUCUGACUCUUUAGAAUAGGCAGCCUAUUAUUUCUGCUGAAAUAGAUGUGACAAUAGUUGUAGGAAGGUACAAAGAUAAAGAUAUUGAGGUAAUAAUAUUAGUACCUCGAGAUGGCUGGGAUUUGGAGGCCUAAAAUUUAAAUUCACUGAAAAUCUCAUCAGUGAUAAUUAUUCAAUCAAUAACUACAAACUUAUGCUUUGUAACUCUGGAUGCACCUCUAUAGUCUAUAUCUAAUUGUCUCUGGAUAUUCACCCUCUUUUGUUUCAAUGUGUCAUUAGCUUAUAAAACUUGCUUUUAAAAAACUUUUUCAAGUGAAUAUAAAUAGAUUGCAUAGUAAAAAUUGGAUGGCAUAGUAAGUUUUUUUUAUUUUUUCAAAAUUUUUAUUUUGCUUGUGGUGGUUAAUUUGGGCUCUUUGGAGUGGUGUCGACUGGAAAUUUAUUUGUAACGAUUAAAUAAAAAAUGAACCGAUUUAUUUAACAGAAACUCUCUCCCAUCUUCUCGAGUGCGAAGAGCCGGAGGUAUCUACAAGCGUUAUUGGAUACUGCUUUUCAUCAUCAUUGUUGUCCUUGUUGUUCUGCUGUUACUCAGCCACCGGGAUGUUGAUGAUCAGAACCCAUUUGGUUUCAUUCAAGACGAAGACAGAAGGAUACUUCAGAAAAACUAAUUUAUUUUAUUGUAAUAAUGUAUUAAAGCAAAAUAUAUCAGUGAUAAUAAUAUAAUGUGUAUAUCAAAUUUAUGCUCUUAAUUCCAUAAAUCACUAAAAACUACAAA